rnacentral:rRNA from 1 species
GAUGAACGCUGGCGGCGUGCCUAAUACAUGCAAGUCGAGCGAACAGACGAGGAGCUUGCUCCUCUGACGUUAGCGGCGGACGGGUGAGUAACACGUGGAUAACCUACCUAUAAGACUGGGAUAACUUCGGGAAACCGGAGCUAAUACCGGAUAAUAUAUUGAACCGCAUGGUUCAAUAGUGAAUGUCGGUUUUGCUGUCACUUAUAGAUGGAUCCGCGCUGCUUUAGCUAGUUGGGAAGGUCACGGCUUAUCAAGGGUACGAUGCGUGGCCGAACUGAGAGGGGGAUCGGCCACCUGGGAGCGGAGACGCGGACCAGGGGCCUACGGGAGGCAGCAGUAGGGAAUCUGCCGCAGUGGGCGGAAGCAUGACGGAGCAACGCGGCGUGAGUGAUGAAGAUCUUCGGAUCGUAAAACUCGGUUAUUAGGGAAGAACAAAUGUGUAAGUAACAAUGCACGUAUUGACGGUACCUAAUCAGAAAGCAACGGCUAACUACGU